GCGGGCAUAGCUCAGUGGUAGAGCAUCACGUUGCCAACGUGAUGGUCGUGGGUUCGAGUCCCAUUGCCCGCUCCA
rnacentral:tRNA from 1 species